rnacentral:rRNA from 1 species
GAGUUUGAUCAUGGCUCAGAACGANCGCNGGCGNCGUGCUUANNACAUGCAAGUCGAACGAGAAAGUUUUNUUCGGAAAACGAGUAGAGUGGCGCACGGGUGAGUAACGCGUAGGUAAUCUACCCUAAUAUUUGGGAUAACAUCGGGAAACUGGUGCUAAUACCGAAUACCCUUCUUUUCUGCCGGGUUAAGGAGGAAAGGUGGCCUCUUCAUGAAAGCUACCGUAUAAGGAUGAGCCUGCGUACCAUUAGCUAGUAGGUGGGGUAAAGGCCCACCUAGGCUACGAUGGUUAGCGGGUCUGAGAGGAUGAUCCGCCACACUGGAACUGGAACACGGACCAGACUCCUACGGGAGGCAGCAGUGAGGAAUAUUGCGCAAUGGGGGAAACCCUGACGCAGCGACGCCGCGUGUGUGAGGAAGGUUUUCGGAUCGUAAAGCUCUGUCAGGAGGGAAGAAGUGUUAUGCAGUUAAUACCUGUAUAAUUUGACGGUACCUUCAGAGGAAGCACCGGCUAACUCCGUGCCAGCAGCCGCGGUAAUACGGAGGGUGCAAGCGUUGUUCGGAAUUACUGGGCGUAAAGGGCGCGUAGGCGGCCUGAUAAGUCAGAUGUGAAAGUCCACGGCUCAACCGUGGAAGUGCAUUUGAAACUGUCAGGCUUGAGUAUCGGAGGGGAGUGUGGAAUUCCCGGUGUAGAGGUGAAAUUCGUAGAGAUCGGGAGGAACACCGGUGGCGAAGGCGACACUCUGGACGAAUACUGACGCUGAGGCGCGAAAGCGUGGGGAGCAAACAGGAUUAGAUACCCUGGUAGUCCACGCCGUAAACGAUGUGAACUAGGGAUAGGGGGUGUUGAUCCCUCCUGUCCCGCAGCUAACGCAUUAAGUUCACCGCCUGGGGAGUACGGUCGCAAGAUUAAAACUCAAAGGAAUUGACGG